rnacentral:rRNA from 1 species
GGAAUCUUCCACAAUGGGCGCAAGCCUGAUGGAGCAACACCGCGUGAGUGAAGAAGGUCUUCGGAUCGUAAAACUCUGUUGUUAGAGAAGAACACGAGUGAGAGUAACUGUUCAUUCGAUGACGGUAUCUAACCAGCAAGUCACGGCUAACUACGUGCCAG